GCAUACGAAGCAGCUCUUAGAGGCAUCCAAAAGCUGACAAUGGAAGCGUCUCUUAGACGCAUACGAAGCAGCCAUUAGGGGCAUCCAGCGUCUGACAAUGGAAGCGUCUCCUAGACGCAUAGGAAGCAGCUCUUAGGGGCAUCCAGCUCUGACAAUGGAAGCGUCUCUUAGACGCAUACGAAGCAGCCAUUAGUGGCAUCCAGCGUCUGACAAUGGAAGCGUCUCUUAGACGCAUAGGAAGCAGCCCUUUGGGGCAUCCAGCUCUGACAAUGGAAGCGCCUCUUAGACGCAUACGAAGCAUCUCUUAGGGGCAUCCAAAAGCUGACAAUGGAAGCGUCUCCAAGACGCAUACGAAGCAGCCAUUAGGGGCAUCCAAAAGCUGACAAUGGAAGCGUCUUUUGGACGCAUACGAAGCGUCUCUAACCGACGCAUAAAAACUUGUGCCCAGCCAGACGCAUCACACUAAGCCGGACGCAAGCUACAGUGGAUGCGUCGGUUAGGCGCCUUCGAAGCAACAGAAGUUUUCAGACCCAAUCAUUGACACACGUGUCGCUUUAAUAUUCAUUGACGCAUCCUUAAGACCUGCAGGCGCAUAAGUGGCUCGAAAUAUGUGAUGCCCUGCUCCAAGGAUGCAUCAGCUGGCUAAAUUGGUGAUUGAGUUAGAAUUGCGUCUUAUUGAUAUAGGUCUAGGGUUGGUUUAUUUGUGUGUAGCCUUGAAUUUAUUUAAUAAAAAGAGUUGAAGCCGAUUGUUGUUGUC
rnacentral:lncRNA from 1 species